ensembl:snRNA U6 U6 spliceosomal RNA
GUGCUCACUUCAGCAGCACAUACACUAAAAUUGCAACAAUAGAGAGAAAAUUAGCAUGGCCCCUGUGCAAGGAUGAUGUGAAAGUUCAGGAAGCAUUCCGUAUUUAA